rnacentral:siRNA from 1 species
GUGGUUCAGAGGGCAAUUUGGGA